UGGGAAUAUUGGACAAUGGGGGAACCCUGAUCCAGCCAUGCCGCGUGUGUGAAGAAGGCCUUAUGGUUGUAAAGCACUUUUAAGCGAGGAGGAGGCUACUUUAGUUAAUACCUAGAGAUAGUGGACGUUACUCGCAGAAUAAGCACCGGCUAACUCUGUGCCAGCAGCCGCGGUAAUACAGAGGGUGCGAGCGUUAAUCGGAUUACUGGGCGUAAAGCGUGCGUAGGCGGCUUAUUAAGUCGGAUGUGAAAUCCCCGAGCUUAACUUGGGAAUUGCAUUCGAUACUGGUGAGCUAGAGUAUGGGAGAGGAUGGUAGAAUUCCAGGUGUAGCGGUGAAAUGCGUAGAGAUCUGGAGGAAUACCGAUGGCGAAGGCAGCCAUCUGGCCUAAUACUGACGCUGAGGUACGAAAGCAUGGGGAGCAAACAGGAUUAGAUACCCUGGUAGUCCAUGCCGUAAACGAUGUCUACUAGCCGUUGGGGCCUUUGAGGCUUUAGUGGCGCAGCUAACGCGAUAAAUAGACCGCCUGGGGAGUACGGUCGCAAGACU
rnacentral:rRNA from 1 species